GAAGAUCAAGAUCAAGAAUAAUCAUCUGUCAGUUAAGGUGGGACUGAAUGAAUGGAAGAAUGAAAUGGAAAGAAAGAAGACCCUGGAAUGGUACAAGGAGAAAGAGGCGCCGAGAUAUGAAAGGUGGUAUGAUGGAAGCCUGGGCGGUGAUCUUCUCUUCCGAGCGAGGGCACAGUGUACGAGUAUGGAUGUAAAUGCAAGGAGUUACAGGUGGUCUGAGUCUCGCAGCAAAGUGUGCCAGAUGUGUGACAUGGGAGAGGAUGAGACGGUGGAACAUGUGGUGCUGGAGUGUGUGAAGUAUGCCAGAGACAGGAAUGAGAUGAUGCAAGUGAUACUGACUGAGUUAGGGCAUGAUAGGAAUGAAAGAGUGGAGAAGACGGGAAAGGAGUGGAUGGUGUUGCUGGGACUGUGUAGAGAGGCGAAUGAAAGGAUGAUUGAGGCGGUGAAAGAGUUUCUGGAGAGAAUAUGGCGUGCCAGGUGUAUGAGCAAUUAGGAUAGAGGAUGCUGUUCGUUUCUCUUUUUUUUUUUUUCCCCCUUCUACAGGAGUUGCCGAUCCAAGGGCCUGGCUCAGGAGUGAUCCUGUGCCACCUGUACCAUCAAGAUCAAGAUCAAGGUGAAAGGUGGUAUGAUGCAAGGUCUAUAUACUGGUGUACAUAGAUCUUGGUAUGAUGGAAGCCUGGACGGUGAUCUCUUCCGAGCGAGGGCACAGUGUAUGGAUGUGAAUGCAAGGAGUUACAGAUGGUCUUCAGUCCCGCAGCAAAGUGUGCCAGAUGUGUGGCAUGGGAGAGGAUGAGACGGUGGAACGUAUGGUGCUGGAGUGUGAGAGAUGAGUGAGACAGGAGAGAGAUUAUGCAUGUGGUUCUGACUGAGUUAGGGCAUGACAGGAAUGAAAGGGUGGAGAAGACAGGAAAGGAGUGGAUAGUGUUGUUGCUGGGACUGUGUAGAGAGGCGAAUGAAAGGAUGAUUGAGGCGGUGAAAGAGUUUCUGGAAAGAAUGUGGCGUGCUAGAUGUAGGAAAAAUUAGUGUAGAGGAUGCUGUUCGUUUCUCUCCUUUUUUUCCCCCUUCUACAGGAGUUGUCGAUCCAAAGACCUAGCUCAGUAGUCCCGAGCCACCUGUAUCAUCAAGAUCAAGAUCAACAUAAGAUCAAGAUCAAAAAGAUUUAUUUCAGGGAGGGAGAGGAAGCACGUGGUGCUUCGGGAGUUUUCAUUUUGCAGAAAUUAGAAAAUCUGGUAUUAAUUUCAAGAUGACUCAAGGAAACGAACAGACUGCCACCUUGAAUUUAGUGAAGACAAGACAUGUUGCUCCUGAAGACUGUUGGUGAAUUAUAUCUCCAUCUAUAUGUGGUAAAAAGGGAGAUCAAUAGGUCACUCCAGUAUUAAUCCAAAGCCAUAAUAAUAAUUAGGUUUAAGUGAAAACAGUUCAUAAUACUACUCAGUAUGUAAGAAACUGAUGAAUCCAUUGCAGUUUCAAAAUCAACAAUAUUUCAAAAUGUUAUCUUUAAUAGAAUAUUGACCAAUUAUACUUCAAUUUUCUAUAAAUGUUACUCUUAAUAGCUGGUACAAUGUAUCCAUAUUUUAAGGUUAUCAGAUGAAAUACCUUCUUCAAUCAUCAUCACUGUCAUGGUAAAUGGUGAGGUAACAAGAAGUUGAAGCCAUAGUGUGACCAUCGUGACUUAAAGAUCUAAUUGCAGCUUAACUCAUUUUCACUAAGUAUCCAGGCAUGAGCUUCCAGUUAAUUAACUCUAAUGCAGGGAAGGAGCUGUCUUUAUUUUAUUUCAUUUUUUUUUCUUUUUCCCUCCCUGUAGUGCCUUUUCAGAUUUUUUUGUGAAGAUUAGUCAUUAGCAGUUCACUAUUUAUAAUGCAUUCACAUUUCCUCUUUACUCAUCCUUUUCAGGAACAAGAUCUAAUUUUCCUCUUGUGAAUGUGAUAAUAACUUUUCAGGUCAUAUCUUAUUCGAGGUGUGCUGUGGCAGAAGGGUACCAUAUGGCAAAAUCAAUAUUUGCAAGAAAACACCCUUAAAGAUUGGUAAUGUUUGGGAAUAAUUAACUCAAGAACUGUUUGAGUUAGAAUGGCUUUGUAUAUCAAAUGAAAGUUGAGUUCCUUAGCUUUCAUUUUGAUGUAACGAGAAAUAUAAUCACAAAUUAUUAUCAUAAUUGGUACCGUUCUCUCUCUCUCUCUCUCUCUCUCUCUCUCUCUCUCUCUCUCUCUCUCUCUCUCUCUCUCUCUCUCUCUCUCUCUCUCUCUCUCUCUCUCUCUCUCUCUCUCUCUCUCUCUCUCUCUCUCUCUCUCUCUCUCUCUUAGUGCUUGGGAGAGUGUGGGUGGGGCAGGACACAGAGAGAUCAAAGACCUUACAGGAUCAGAAUGCCUGUCCUUUCUGCAGGCUGACCUCCAUGAUGUUCUUAUUGUCAGUCUUGUAGUCUAACUUGAGUAGGUAGCCCUCUUGGAAAGCCAAAUGCAGGAGGAUUUUGUGGCUGUUUUUAAAUAUGCUGCCUGGCACACUAUGUUUAGCAAUGUACUUGGAGAGCGUUGAAACUGAAGAACGGGGUCAUCUUGAUGAUAGGGAAACCAACUGCUACUACACUCUUGAUGAUGUUGAUGUAAUCAUCAGGCGUAUAGAUGACCACCCAGUUUGUUAUCUUACACUUGAUGUUGCCAAAUGCCCUGUCACAGGCCAUGUAUCUGUGCCUAGGUACCAGGUAGACAUAGUUGCAAACAAGUGUUUAGAGUGAAGUUGUCUCAGGUACAUCAGGACCAGAUUGAUGUUUUUGUUCUGUCCUGCACAGUUGUUGCUGAUGACAAUGAGCUGCCCAAAGUCACCCUAAAUCCAUAAAGAGUGAGUGUCAUGAAUUUCUGCUCGCUUGGAGGACAGUGGGGUAUGGGAAUUCCCACCUUCUCUCCUGCCAAGAUUUGUACUUCUGUGACAUAGUUAUUGUGUCUGGUGGCUGAUGGCAACCCUUGUCCUUUGUUUCCCUUGAGUCCCAGUGCACAACUAACAAUAGAAAUGGAGGGACACGUUGACAACUAUUUCCCUGUGUCCUGAUGUGUGAAUGAAUAGAGCGUGACUAGGAUUCCCUGUACCUCCAAUCCUAUUAUUGGGAAGUGUACUGAGUCUACCAAUAAAACAUCAUUGAAU